AUGGUGACGGCGGUGCGCACUGUGGGCUGCCUUCCUGUGCUGUGCAGCGGGACAGCGGGUCAUUUACUGGGGAGGUAGCUUUCCCUAAACACCUUACCAACAGCUUCCAUUUUGGCAUGGAAGACCUCUCUCAGCAAUGGCCCUUUGUCAUCAAUGGGAACCAGAGACACCCCUCCUUAGGCCAGCUUGAGCCAUGCGCUGCAGACACAAUGCUGCAGAUGUGCAUUGUAUACAGCGUACAGUUUCUUCACUAAAUUGACUGCAGUUGAGCUGUGGAAAGGUACUUUGGCAGGGACUGGUACUGGAGCAAGAAAAGGAAGAGGCAAAAGAACUAAAAAGAAGAAAGGAAAGGAUCUGAACCGGGGUCUGAUCAUUGGUGAAGGGCGUUACUGUUUUCUGUGGCCUGAUCUGAAUGUCCCUCUUAUGAAAAAUGGAGCAGUGCAAACCACUGCCCAAAGACGCAAGGAAGAGCGGGAGAAGGUGGAGGCGGACAUGAUCCAGCAGAGAGAAGAGUGGGGCCUAAAGAGGAAGAUGAAGGUUAAAUGGGAGCCAGGAUGGAGUGGAAACUCAUGGAGAGGCGUCAGUCUUGGCCUGCCUGACCCUGGUCCCAGUGGAGAAACAUAUGAGGAUUUUGAUACCAGGAUACUUGAGGUAAGAAAUGUUUUCAAUAUGACAGCGGAAAGAGGGAAGAAAGAAAUCGGUCCAUGUCCUGGUGGCUGUGGGGAACAGAAAAGGAGCUGCAGGUUUUGCCGUUGGGAAAACCAUUGAACGGGUGGACGCUUUUAGGAAAGCAAAGAACAGAGCAGUUCACUAUCUGCAUUAUAUAGAACAAUAUGAAGACCCUACAAUAUUCCAUGAUAUUUCAUUAAGAUGUAAAAGGACACGUAUCAAGAUGAAGAAACAACCCAAAGGUUAUGGCCUCUGCUGCCACAGGGCCAUCAUUACCAUCUGCAGGCUCACUGGCAUCAACGACAUGUAUGCCAAGGUCUCUGGGUCUGUCAGUAGGCUCAGCCUUACCUGGGGCCUCUUCCGUGGGCUCUCCAGACAGAAAACCCAUCAACAGCUGGCUGUUAAGAAGGGCCUCCAUGUUGUGGAAAUCCAGGAAUGUGGCCCUCUGCCCAUCCUGGUUGCCUUCUCCCAGGGGGCCUUGAGUAAGGAUCCAGAGACAAAUGAUAAGGUUCCAGACAUCAAACUGGACUGGGAAGACAUGAAGACUGCGCAGGGAGAGAAGCGCUCUGUGCGGCCUGGGUUAAAGAGAGCUGCCACGUAACCUCCCUGGCCUUGUGCAGCCAGUGCCUGUGCUGCCCCGCACCUAGGAAAGACUCAGCCCCUCACAGCUUGGGGUGUUGCCUUGGUUUUUUUGUUUUGUUUUUAGGAAAGUUUAAUCUUUAAACUGUUUAGAAAUGAAUAAUUACAGCUUUC